AGAGUGAUAGGACCCACGGGAAUGGUGUCAAGCUGUGGCAGGAGAGGAUCAGGCUAGACAUCAGGAAGAGGUUCCUUACUGAGAGGGUUGUUGCGCACUGGAACGGUCUCCCCAGGGAAGUAGUCACUGCACCAAGCCUGUCGGAGUUUAAGAAGCGUUUGGACUGUGCACUUAGUCACAUGGUCUGAAUUUCUGGGUUGACUUGUGUGGUGCCGGGAUUUGGGCUCGAUGAUCCUUGUGGGUCCCUUCCAAUUCGGGAUAUUUUAUGUUUCUAUAAGAAUCUGACUUCCUCUCUUUGCCUCAUACACUAGUCACAGUAGCAAGUGAGUAGGGUUCAGUUACAUGCACCACUUCAUAGGAAAAUGAGUCUUCUGUCGGGCUACUGACUAAAAGAAACAUAUUGAUACAAUUACCAUAAUCAAUUCAACGAAUCCAAAUCAUUAUUUACUUUGCUUUUACUGUAAUUGUCUGAAAAUGAAGCAUGCUAUUUUGCAUGAACAAAAUGCUUUUUCAACCAAAGCAUGUUUUCUUCUGCUUUUAAAGGUUCAUUUCAGAGUGAUCAAAACCUAUAUUUUUCUUUUCUUUUUUUUGUUUUGUUUUGUUUUGAUCCUUUCAGUAGCAGAACUAAAAAUUUCCACAGAUGUACUGGACCGAGUUCCAUUGAAGUCCAGGGAGCUAAUUGUAGAAGAAGCUGCCAGUUACUGUGAACAAGGAGACCCCAGGCCAGAUAGCAGCAUUACAUAUCACUCCAGAGAAGAUUAACACCACCACAGUCUGGGUACUAGUCAACUCCAAUUAACAUGCAAACCACACGGACUGUCUGAAUACUUGGGGCAAGUUUCUUCAACCAGUGUGAAGUCUACAAAGCUGCAUGGCUAGUCUCCACAUCUAUUUUCAAAGCCUUUAGACUGUGAUUCAUUGCACAUUUUCAACACUACAACUCUAUCUCUUCUUCCAAGUAUCAUUCUUAUACCAUUGAGCCUGCUGAGAAAAAAGAACGUUGAAUGCACAUAGAAAGAAAAAAAAAAAAAACUAGUAUAAUUACAGAUUACCAAGGAUGGAAUAUUUACCUUUGUUUUACUCUUAACAUUAAUUGCUGAACAGUUUGAUAUGGACAGCUGAACCUGAUUAAUAUCUUGUUUCAACCAUGGCAGGUCAUGCUAGGUUUGUAGAAAGCAGAGAUUUUUAUUAUUGCUAGGAAAAGAGAGCAAAGUAUUGAACACAGCAAUUUGUGUUAGAGCGGGUUAAGUACUUG